UCGAACGGCAGCGCGGGCUUCGGCCUGGCGGCGAGUGGCGAACAGGUGAGUAAUAUAUCGGAACGUACCCAGAAGUGGGGGAUAACGUAGCGAAAGUUACGCUAAUACCGCAUACGAUCUACGGAUGAAAGUGGGGGACCUUCGGGCCUCAUGCUUUUGGAGCGGCCGAUAUCUGAUUAGCUAGUUGGUGAGGUAAAGGCUCACCAAGGCGACGAUCAGUAGCUGGUCUGAGAGGACGACCAGCCACACUGGAACUGAGACACGGUCCAGACUCCUACGGGAGGCAGCAGUGGGGAAUUUUGGACAAUGGGGGCAACCCUGAUCCAGCAAUGCCGCGUGAGUGAAGAAGGCCUUCGGGUUGUAAAGCUCUUUUGUCAGGGAAGAAACGGCUGAGGCUAAUAUCCUCGGCUAAUGACGGUACCUGAAGAAUAAGCACCGGCUAACUACGUGCCAGCAGCCGCGGUAAUACGUAGGGUGCAAGCGUUA
rnacentral:rRNA from 1 species